GGGCCGCACGCGCGCUACACUGACGGAGCCAGCGAGUCUAACCUUGGCCGAGAGGUCUUGGUAAUCUUGUGAAACUCCGUCGUGCUGGGGAUAGAGCAUUGUAAUUAUUGCUCUUCAACGAGGAAUUCCUAGUAAGCGCAAGUCAUCAGCUUGCGUUGAUUACGUCCC
rnacentral:rRNA from 11 species